UACGAAGGGGGCUAGCGUUGUUCGGUUUUACUGGGCGUAAAGCGCACGUAGGCGGGUUGUUAAGUCAGGGGUGAAAUCCUGGAGCUCAACUCCAGAACUGCCUUUGAUACUGGCAACCUAGAGGCUGGAAGAGGUUAGUGGAAUUCCCAGUGUAGAGGUGAAAUUCGUAGAUAUUGGGAAGAACACCAGUGGCGAAGGCGGCUAACUGGUCCAGAUCUGACGCUGAGGUGCGAAAGCGUGGGGAGCAAACAGG
rnacentral:rRNA from 1 species